AUCUACAUCAGACACCUUCAGAGCUUAGGGAGAAAUGUGCUGAGGGAGAGAAAGGAAGGACAGAUAUCUGGAAUACAGAGGAAAAGCAUCUAAUCAGAAAUAACAGCUCUCAUCAGGCACAGACAAUAGACAGCAAACUGGCUUCAGGAAAGCUAUUCAGGCAUCGUGGGAGCUAAAUCAACAGACACAAGUGCUUUCUCUUAGGAGGAUGCUCGUGACAGUUUGAUUACUUGGAACCUGAGGUGAAAAUGCCCAAACAAAAAUGAUCAGUUAACACAGAGGAAAAUCAGCAGCACAUUAAAAAUAAGAAAACCAAGGGAGUUUUUGUGAAGGACACAAUUGCGUGUUCACGUGUUGCUGAAAUGCAGAGGGAGAGAGGCUGCAUGUAGCUGCUGCUGCAAACUGAGCCCAGGGUACAUGCGUUCCAUCUAUGCCAUUGCAUGCCCAUGGCAUGAUGGGCUGCACUGCUGGGAUUGCUGGAGGAGUCCUGUGGAAGAGAAGUCCUCAGGCCUUG